GUAGCUGCCGGCGAGCUCGCCAGUUGCCUCCGCCGCCGCCUUGGAAUCUGGGGCCCCGACGGCCGGCGAGACCCCGCCUCCGCCCGACCCCGGGGAGGCCGCGCGGCUGCUGCGCCUGCCCCAGCCGCCGCACCUGGGAGCGGUGAUCACCAGGAGAGGUGGGGCGUGGCAAGAGGCUGGCCGGGCGCCGGAGCAGCUUCGCCAAAAGCCAGCCGGACCGGCGCAAGGCGGAGGGGGAGGGUCUCGGGGCAGAGGCCGGCUCCUCCGAGGGAGAGACCCCAGCUGGGGUGGAAAAGGGCACAAAGCAGCUGCACAGACGCUGGGCGCGGAUCAUGGAGCGGGCCAGCCCCGGCUCCGGGGAGUCGAAGCUGCAGCGGGACCAGGAUUCCGUGGAAGCGUGGCUGGAUGAUCACUGGGACUUUACCUUCUCUUACUUUGUUAGGAAAGCCACCAGGCCGGUCUAGUAGACCACAACUACACACGCCCAGCCGGGACCCUGCGGAGCUUGACCACCCAGAACUGGGCGACCACGCCUACCCCCUGCGCCUGCGGACAGGCCAGCUCCGAAAAGCGCCCAGAGGACCUGCAGGCCCCGCCCCACGGGGCGGGGCCUAGAGGCUCAUCGCGCCUGCGCGGAGGCCCGAGGGCGUGCUGCGCCGUUACUUUUGAAACGAGUGGCGGGGAACUGCUGUGGGCGUCUCUGCUGUCGCUCUCUGCCGGGGGGAAGCGCACUCCUUCGUCUGUAGGACUGGCCAUGGCGCUGCAGCUCUCCCGGGAGCAAGGCAUCACCCUGCGCGGGAGCGCCGAAAUCGUGGCCGAGUUCUUCUCCUCCUGCCCGGCGGGAGAAUCUAGGAAGAAGCGGAUGCAGACGCCGCCUCCGGGCUCCUUGCUAAUGGUGGAGCUUGAGGCCUAGGUGCUGCUGAGGCCUGCGGCGCGAUGUAGCCCCUCCACCUGCAGCGUUGCUUUCAACUACAGAGCCAGGCACUUUCCGCCCGCCCCCAGCCUCCGCGACUUCAGACGGAGUAGGACCGGGGUGGGGGCCACGUAUAUUUUUAACAACCCCUCGGCCCCUCUUUGAUUCUGGUAUUGGCGGUGAUGGACUAGAGUUAGGAAACGCCAUUCCGGACCAGGACAGUUGUGCCUUCUGAUAGGAUCUGGCAGGACUUGUGAGGAGAAAAGGAGGAAAAAGAGGGAAAGGUUUGCUGAGAGCAUUGCAGAGAACAGUUAAUCAGUUGCUAACUGAGAUGCAAAAGCCUAUUUUGACAGCCUCUAACCACAUAAUCUGAAUUGGGACUUGGAUUACAGUGAGUUGUAGUACUACUUUGACAGUAGAUUAAUGCAGUUUGGCGUUUUUCUCUUUUUUUGCCACAGAAAUGCAGGUAUCGUGUUCUCUCUUAAUUAGAAGCAAGGUUUUAAGAAUGUUUAAUGCCACUUUUUAGGAAUACUUUUAUUACAGCCCAUCAGGGGCUGUAACUUUAACCUACGAAUUGGUGUGGGAGGGAGACACAAUUCAAUCUAUGGCAAGCAGCAAUAGUUCAGCUCUCCCCACCGCGGCGUGCACUCACGCACACGCGCACGCACGCACGCAUUCUCGCGCACGCCCGCACGCAUUCUCGCGCACGCACGCAUUCUCGCGCACGCACGCACGCAUUCUCGCGCAGGCACGCACUCACAAGGCGCGGCCCCGGGAAAGGGGACUAGAGUUUAUGUGUCCUACCGUCAGCAGCUGGGAAGCUGUGUAGGCCCCUCUCUUCCUUCUCCAGGCCUUACAGGGGUCCUAGCCUGCUGCAAGGGGUAAGUUAAAGGGGUUUAUGGAAGAUCUUGCGGCACACUGGGCAACACUCCAUCUGGUCAGCCAUCAAAAGAGUUCUAAAGAUCAUUGAGUAAAAAAUAUAUUCACUGGACAUAGAUUGGAAAAACAGCCAGUCUGCUUAGUCCCUGGGCCCAAGACAUGGACAGUAUUUGGAGGCAAGAGUACAACAUAAGGAAAUCAUCAGAAGCACAGGCAAAGAAUUAUGUACCAGGAUGUUCAUAGAAGCAUUAUUUAAAGUUGCAGAACAACCAAAAAAAAAAACCUGGACUCAAACCAAAUAGCCCAAAAUAUGGGAUAGUUAAAUAAGAUGGGCUAUUAAACAGACAUUAAAUAUUAUGUUUUCAAAAUAUAUUUAAUUAAAUGGAAAAAUACCAGAUACUGUAAAGUUAAAAAACAUGCACAGCCGUAUAUAUAGUAUGUUUUAAAUCAGUGUCAAAAGUGCUACGUUCAAAAUGAGCCGAGACUUGUGAAAAAUACUUAGGACAAUAUAAAAUACUCUUCCAUCAUAUUUUAGGCAAUGAGAAAAGACAAGGCAGGAAAAGAACCGUACUGCUUGGGGAAGAGAGCAAUUUGCUAACAAACAUUAGAAUUUCUUUUUCUCCAGCCAGGAAAAUGAUCUUCAAAUUCUACAAAUAGAAUAUGCAAAGAAAACGUAAAUUUCAACACCAAAUGGUGAAGAAAGCUAGUAGUCCAUAGUUUAGAUAAAGAUAAAAAUCCUGUGUUUGUGUACCAUCACAUCUAUGACACUGGGCACAUUGGCACAUAAUACCAUCUCAGUUAAACUUGUGACAAACAACUAAGUAUAAGAAUGAAUACAAUGAAUACGCACUGAGAAGUAUUCAAAAUGGUGGUUAUCAGUAGCUUAGAAGUGGGAGAUAUGCAAAGAUAAUUGAUUAAAGGGUAUAAGCUUCCAGUUACAGGAUUAGCAAGUUCAGGGGCACCUGAGUGGCUCAGUGGGUUAAGCAUUUGCCUUUGGCUCAGGUCAUGAUCCCGGGGUCCCGGCAUUGGGCUCCCUGCUCAGUGGGGAGCCUGCCAGGGAGCCUGCUUCUCCCUCCCUCCUCGCUCUUGCUCUCUCUCGCUAUCUCUGUCUCUCUCAAAUAAAAAAAUAAAAUUUUGAAAAAAACUAAGAUUAACAAGUUCUGGGGCUCUAAUGUAUAACAUGGUGAUUACAGCUAAUAAUACUUUGUAUUAUAUAUGUUUAUUUAUAUUUAUAUUAUUAUAGCUAAUAAUACACUUUAAAGUUGGUAAAAGAGUAACUCUUAAAUGUUCUCACUACAAAAAAGAAAUGGUAAUUAUGUGACAGGACAGAGGAGUUAGCCAUAGGAUUAUGACUUAGUCAUAAUCAUUUUGUAAUACACAAGUUUAUUAAAUCAACACCCUGUAUACCUUAAACUUACACAAUGUUAUAUGUCAAUUCCCUCUCAAUAAAGUGGGGUAAAAUUUUUUAAAUAUAUAUUUUUUAAAGUAUCAAGGACUUCAAAAAAAUUCAGUGAUAUAUCGAGUUGCUCAAAAAAUGUCCAGGUAUGUCCUCAGUAUUUGUAGAUAAAUUUCAAAACAUCAACGAAUCUCUUGAACGGUUUCAGAAGAGUGUGUAGAGAUUUUCCAAUAAUUUAUCCUGGAAAUGAAAAUUGAUGUAUUCGAUA